AGUGAACGCUGGCGGUAAGCCUAACACAUGCAAGUCGAACGGCAGCACAGUAAGAGCUUGCUCUUACGGGUGGCGAGUGGCGGACGGGUGAGGAGUACAUCGGAAUCUACUUUUUCGUGGGGGAUAACGUAGGGAAACUUACGCUAAUACCGCAUACGACCUACGGGUGAAAGCAGGGGAUCUUCGGACCUUGCGCGAUUGAAUGAGCCGAUGUCGGAUUAGCUAGUUGGCGGGGUAAAGGCCCACCAAGGCGACGAUCCGUAGCUGGUCUGAGAGGAUGAUCAGCCACACUGGAACUGAGACACGGUCCAGACUCCUACGGGAGGCAGCAGUGGGGAAUAUUGGACAAUGGGCGCAAGCCUGAUCCAGCCAUACCGCGUGGGUGAAGAAGGCCUUCGGGUUGUAAAGCCCUUUUGUUGGGAAAGAAAAGCAGCAGGUUAAUACCCCGCUGUUCCGACGGUACCCAAAGAAUAAGCACCGGCUAACUUCGUG
rnacentral:rRNA from 1 species